ACCGGAGACGGAAGGAGUGCUUUUAUUAGAUCAAAACCAAUCGGUGGCGAGGGUUUACUCUUGUCAUCGUACAACUUGGUGACUCUGAAUAACUUUAUGCUGAUCGCAAGGUCAAUGCACCGGCGACGCAUCUUUCAAAUGUCUGCCUUAUCAACUGUCGAUGGUAGGUUCUGCGCCUACCAUGGUUGUAACGGGUAACGGGGAAUCAGGGUUCGAUUCCGGAGAGGGAGCCUGAGAAACGGCUACCACAUCCAAGGAAGGCAGCAGGCGCGCAAAUUACCCACUCCCGGCACGGGGAGGUAGUGACGAAAAAUAACGAUACGGGACUCAUCCGAGGCCCCGUAAUCGGAAUGAGUACACUCUAAACCCUUUAACGAGGAUCAAUUGGAGGGCAAGUCUGGUGCCAGCAGCCGCGGUAAUUCCAGCUCCAAUAGCGUAUAUUAAAGUUGUUGCGGUUAAAAAGCUCGUAGUCGAAUUUGUGUCCCGCGCCGCCGGUUCAUCGUCCGCGGUGUUAACUAGCGUGCCGCGGGACGUCCUGCCGGUGGACUAGCUCUCGCUCUCUGUAACAGGGGAGUGUUGGGUGACGUCCAACUCAAUCCUGCCGCGGUGCUCUUAGCUGAGUGUCGAGGUGGGCCGGCACGUUUACUUUGAACAAAUUAGAGUGCUUAAAGCAGGCUAAAACUUUGCCUAAAUAUUGUGUGCAUGGAAUAAUAGAAUAGGACCUCGGUUCUAUUUUGUUGGUUUUCGGAACCCCGAGGUAAUGAUUAAUAGGAACGGAUGGGGGCAUUCGUAUUGCGACGCUAGAGGUGAAAUUCUUGGAUCGUCGCAAGACGGACAGAAGCGAAAGCAUUUGCCAAAAACGUUUUCAUUGAUCAAGAACGAAAGUUAGAGGUUCGAAGGCGAUCAGAUACCGCCCUAGUUCUAACCAUAAACGAUGCCAGCUAGCAAUCCGUCGACGUUCCUCCGAUGACUCGACGGGCGGCUUCCGGGAAACCAAAGCUUUUGGGUUCCGGGGGAAGUAUGGUUGCAAAGCUGAAACUUAAAGGAAUUGACGGAAGGGCACCACCAGGAGUGGAGCCUGCGGCUUAAUUUGACUCAACACGGGAAACCUCACCAGGCCCGGACACCGGAAGGAUUGACAGAUUGAGAGCUCUUUCUUGAUUCGGUGGGUGGUGGUGCAUGGCCGUUCUUAGUUGGUGGAGCGAUUUGUCUGGUUAAUUCCGAUAACGAACGAGACUCUAGCCUGCUAACUAGGCGUAUUAUGACAUCUUAAAGGCCAAUCGAUUUAGGUGAGCGUUUCGGCGUAUAUCCUUUAUUGUAUUUGGUUUUUACUGUCAGCGUACAAACAAUUCUUCUUAGAGGGACAGGCGGCUUCUAGCCGCACGAGAUUGAGCAAUAACAGGUCUGUGAUGCCCUUAGAUGUUCUGGGCCGCACGCGCGCUACACUGAAGGAAUCAGCGUGUCCUCCCUGUCCGAACGGAUCGG
rnacentral:rRNA from 1 species